rnacentral:rRNA from 1 species
GACGAACGCUGGCGGCGUGCCUAAUACAUGCAAGUAGAACGCUGAAGAGAGGGGUUUGCUCUGCUGGGCUGAGUUGCGAACGGGUGAGUAACGCGUAGGUAACCUGCAUUGUAGCGGGGGAUAACUAUUGGAAACGAUAUCUAAUACCGCAUAACAAUGGAUGACCCAUGUCAUUUAUUGGAAAGUGGAAAAUGCUCCACUACAAGAGGGACCUACGUUGUAUUAGCUAGUAGGUGCGGUAACGGCGCACCUAGGCGACGACACAUAGCCGACCUGAGAGGGUGAUCGGCCACACUGGGAGUGAGACACGGCACAGACUCACUCGGGAGGCAGCCAGAGGGAAUCUGGGGCCAUGGGGGCAAACCAUACCGAAACAGGCCGAGGCAGGGAAGAAUGUUGUCGGGUCGGAAAGGUCGGUUGUCAGGCUAGAAAGAGUGUGAGAGUGGAAAGUUGACAAUGUGACGGUAGCUGCAGAGAAAGGAACGGCUAACUACGUG